rnacentral:lncRNA from 1 species
UUGGAUUUGGGGAAAAUUAGUUUGGGAUUUAGGUAGAGGAGGGUGAGACGGUUGUGGGAUGUGAUUUUGGUGGGGUUUGGGUGGUGGCGCCGCCGUGGCCAGCGGAUCAGUCUCCCUUUCAAACAAAUAUUCGAGGAUUUUGGCUGGUGUUUGAGGGGCAUUGGUUACAGAAAUGGAAAGAGGAGGUUAAGAAGAUGAAGUGGUGUAAUUUCGGGGGCCAUCAGAGCAUCGCCGCCGGCGGAGGCGAUUUUUGGCCGGCGCGGACGGCAGAAGGUUGACGGAGGACGGUGGCGUUAUGUCGGUGUAUGUUGGGGUGUUUUGAGAGGUG